rnacentral:rRNA from 1 species
AGCGAACGCUGGCGGCAGGCCUAACACAUGCAAGUCGAACGAACUCUUCGGAGUUAGUGGCGGACGGGGGAGUAACACGUGGGAACGUGCCUUUUGGUUCGGAAUAACUCAGGGAAACUUGUGCUAAUACCGAAUGUGCCCUUCGGGGGAAAGAUUUAUCGCCAUUAGAGCGGCCCGUGUCUGAUUAGCUAGUUGGUGAGGUAACGGCUCACCAAGGCGACGAUCAGUAGCUGGUCUGAGAGGAUGACCAGCCACACUGGGACUGAGACACGGCCCAGUCUCCUACGGGAGGCAGCAGUGGGGAAUCUUGCGCAAUGGGCGAAAGCCUGACGCAGCCAUGCCGCGUGAAUGAUGCAGGUCUUAGGAUUGUAAAAUUCUUUCAGCGGGGACGAUAAUGACGGUACCCGGAGAAGAAGCCCCGGCUAACUUCGUG